rnacentral:rRNA from 1 species
CCUACCGGGCGCAGCAGUGAGGAAUAUUGGUCAAUGGGAGAGAUCCUGAACCAGCCAAGCCGCGUGAGGGAAGACGGCCCUAUGGGUUGUAAACCUCUUUUGUCGGAGCACAAAACCCGGGACGUGUCCCGGACUGCGUGUAUCCGAAGACAAAGCAUCGGCUAACUCCGUGCCAGCAGCCGCGGUAAUACGGAGGAUGCGAGCGUUAUCCGGAUUUAUUGGGUGUAAAGGGUGCGUAGGCGGUCCGUGAAGGCAGCGGUAAAAUGGCGGGGCUCAACCCCGUCGCGCCGUUGACACUGGCAGACUUGAGUUGGCGAGAAGUACGCGGAAUGCGCGGUGUAGCGGUGAAAUGCAGAGAUAUCGCGCAGAACUCCGAUUGCGAAGGCAGCGUACCGGCGCCAGACUGACGCUGAGGCACGAAAGCGUGGGGAUCGAACAGGAUUAGAUACCCGGGUAGUC